UACGAAGGGGGCUAGCGUUGUUCGGAAUUACUGGGCGUAAAGCGUGCGCAGGCGGCUUCUCAAGUCAGGGGUGAAAGCCCGGAGCUCAACUCCGGAACUGCCAUUGAAACUGUAAGACUUGAGGAUGAGAGAGGUGAGUGGAAUUCCCAGUGUAGAGGUGAAAUUCGUAGAUAUUGGGAAGAACACCGGUGGCGAAGGCGGCUCACUGGCUCAUAUCUGACGCUCAGGCGCGACAGCGUGGGGAUCAAACAGG
rnacentral:rRNA from 1 species